GCCUGAGUGGCUCAGUCGGUUGAGCGUCCGACUUCAGCUCAGGUCAUGAUCUCGCAGCUCGUGGGUUCGAGCCCCGCAUCAGGCU
rfam:Felis catus isolate Cinnamon breed Abyssinian chromosome A1, whole genome shotgun sequence.